rnacentral:lncRNA from 12 species
AGCACAGGGAAAGAGCAAAUAGGGAGAGAAUCUAGGGAAUCACAGUGGGGCCCAAACCCCUCUGGCUCUGAGCAGCACCAGGAGGCUUCUCCAAGAUAAAGCUGUGUGUGCUCACUGCUCUGUGCCCGCAGGAACUGCUCCCACGACAAGGUGGUGUCGAUGCUGCAGGGCAGCGGGGCCAUGCCCACCUUGGUGGUGGAAGAGGGCAUUGUCAACUUCUCCAACGCCGAGGCAGAGGCUGAGGAUCGGUACCGCAGCUCCGUCCGAGGGGCCUCCCUGUGCCGGGGCAGCCUCCGCACCCCCCGCCCCGAGGAGGGGGCAGCAGGUGG